rnacentral:rRNA from 1 species
GACGAACGCUGGCGGCGUGCUUAACACAUGCAAGUCGAAGAUAGUGGCGAGCGGGUGAGUAAUACGUGGGUAACCUGCCCUCCUUUUUUGGCUACGCCUUGGAAACGGUGUCUAAUCCUGCAUAGAGGGGGCUGGGCUCGCGUCCUAUCAGCGUGUUGGUGGGGUGAUGGCCUACAAAGGCGGUGACGUGUAGCCGGCCUGACAGGGGGACCGGCAACAUUGGGACUGCGAGACGCCCAAGACGCCUACGGGAGGCAGCAGUGGGGGAUAUUGCACAAUGGCGAAAGCCUGAUGCAGCGACGCUGCGGGGGGGAUUAAGGUUUUCGGGUUGUAAACCUCGUUCGCUAUCGAACGGGUAGGUGGAGAAGAAGCGCCGGCUAACUACGUGCCAGCAGCCGCGGUAAUAC